rnacentral:rRNA from 1 species
GACGAACGCUGGCGGCGUGCCUAAUACAUGCAAGUAGAACGCACAGUUUAUACCGUAGCUUGCUACACCAUAGACUGUGAGUUGCGAACGGGUGAGUAACGCGUAGGUAACCUGCCUGGUAGCGGGGGAUAACUAUUGGAAACGAUAGCCAAUACCGCAUAAUAUUAAUUAUUGCAUGAUAAUUGAUUGAAAGAUGCAACUGCAUCACUACCAGAUGGACCUGCGUUGUAUUAGCUAGUAGGUGAGGUAACGGCUCACCUAGGCGACGAUACAUAGCCGACCUGAGAGGGUGAUCGGCCACACUGGGACUGAGACACGGCCCAGACUCCUACGGGAGGCAGCAGUAGGGAAUCUUCGGCAAUGGACGAAAGUCUGACCGAGCAACGCCGCGUGAGUGAAGAAGGUUUUCGGAUCGGAAAGCUCUGUUGUAAGAGAAGAACGGGUGUGAGAGUGGAAAGUUCACACUGUGACGGUAUCUUACCAGAAAGGGACGGCUAACUACGUG